AAUAGAUACCCCGGUAGUCCACGCCGUAAACGAUGGAUGCUAGCCGUGCAGAGUAUCGACCCUCUGCGUGGCGAAGCUAACGCGUUAAGCAUCCCGCCUGUGGAGUACGAGCGCAAGCUUAAAACAUAAAGGAAUUGACGGGGACCCGCACAAGCGGUGGAGCGUGUUGUUUAAUUCGAUGAUAAGCGAAGAACCUUACCCAGGCUUGACAUCCUUGGAAUUUUGCCGAAAGGCGAAAGUGCCUUGUGAGCCAAGUGACAGGUGCUGCAUGGCCGUCGUCAGCUCGUGUCGUGAGAUGUUUGGUUAAGUCCAUCAACGAGCGCAACCCUUGUAAGUAGUUGAAUUUUUCUACUUAGACUGCCUCGGCAACGGGGAGGAAGGAGGGGAUGAUGUCAGGUCAGUAUUGCCCUUACGCCUGGGGCUACAAACACGCUACAAUGGCCGGUACAAAGGGCAGCCAACCCGCGAGGGGGAGCAAAUCCCAUCAAAGCCGGUCCCAGUUCGGAUAGCAGGCUGAAACCCGCCUGCUUGAAGUCGGAA
rnacentral:rRNA from 1 species